rnacentral:rRNA from 1 species
AUUGAACGCUGGCGGCAGGCCUAACACAUGCAAGUCGAGCGGAUGAAGGGAGCUUGCUCCUGGAUUCAGCGGCGGACGGGUGAGUAAUGCCUAGGAAUCUGCCUGGUAGUGGGGGAUAACGUCCGGAAACGGGCGCUAAUACCGCAUACGUCCUGAGGGAGAAAGUGGGGGAUCUUCGGACCUCACGCUAUCAGAUGAGCCUAGGUCGGAUUAGCUAGUUGGUGGGGUAAAGGCCUACCAAGGCGUCGAUCCGUAACUGGUCUGAGAGGAUGAUCAGUCACACUGGAACUGAGACACGGUCCAGACUCCUACGGGAGGCAGCAGUGGGGAAUAUUGGACAAAGGGCGAAAGCCUGAUCCAGCCAUGCCGCGUGUGUGAAGAAGGUCUUCGGAUUGUAAAGCACUUUAAGUUGGGAGGAAGGGCAGUAAGUUAAUACCUUGCUGUUUUGACGUUACCAACAGAAUAAGCACCGGCUAACUUCGUG